GACGAACGCUGGCGGCGUGCUUAACACAUGCAAGUCGAACGGUGAACCUCUUCGUAGGUUCUCAGUGUCGGACGGGUGAGUGACACGUGGGCAACCUGCCCCCGCCUCUUGGAGAACGCCAAGAAAUUGGGGCUAAUACCGGUACUUCACCGCUUCCCGCAUGGGAGGUGGUUUGAAUGGUUGCUGGCUUUGGAUGGGUCCGCGGCCGAUCAGCGUGUUGGUUGGGUAGCGGUCUAGAAAGGCGACGACGGGGAGCCGGCCUGAGAGGGUGACAGGCCCCACAGGGACUGAGACACGGGCCAGAGGCCUACGGGAGGAAGCAGUGGGAAAUAUUGCGCAAUGGGCGGCAGCAUGAAGCAGCGUCGCCGCGUCGGGGAUGACGGUUUUCGGGUUGUAACCAUCUUUAAGCAGGAAAGAAGAGACAGUGACGGUACCUUAAGAAGAAGCACCGGCUAACUACGUG
rnacentral:rRNA from 1 species